GACGAACGCUGGCGGCGUGCUUAACACAUGCAAGUCGAACGAUGAAGCGGUGCUUGCACCGUGGAUUAGUGGCGAACGGGUGAGUAAUACGUGAGUGACCUACCUUUGACUCUGGGAUAAGCCUGGGAAACUGGGUCUAAUACCGGAUACGACCAAUCUCUGCAUGGGGUGUUGGUGGAAAGCGUUAUGGAGUGGUUUUAGAUGGGCUCACGGCCUAUCAGCUUGUUGGUGAGGUAAUGGCUUACCAAGGCGACGACGGGUAGCCGGCCUGAGAGGGUGACCGGCCACACUGGGACUGAGACACGGCCCAGACUCCUACGGGAGGCAGCAGUGGGGAAUAUUGCACAAUGGGCGCAAGCCUGAUGCAGCGACGCCGCGUGAGGGAUGACGGCCUUCGGGUCGUAAACCUCUGUUAGCAUCGAAGAAGCGAAAGUGACGGUAGGUGCAGAGAAAGCGCCGGCUAACUACGUG
rnacentral:rRNA from 1 species